AGGAAAAGGAAGCGGGCAAAUCUUAAAGGGAGCGCAGCCAUUUUUAAGCCUCUUUUCUUUUUCCAAUUUUGCAAAGUGCACAGCUAGAGCGGCGCGGGCCUCAGCUGGGGGCCGGAGCGCCUGCGGGGCGGGCGGAGGCGAGGGUCUGCCCACUGGAAGGGCCCCGCGCACCUCCGGCCCAUGCUCCGGCGGGCAGCGAGCUUGAACAUCUGGGGCUGGCCUGGGGCGGCAGGGUCCUGUGCGCGGUUGGCGCGGCUGCUGCGCCGGGCCGGAGGGUGAGGCCGCGCUGCGGAGCGGGGACAGAGCUGGCACCUCCAGAUCAGAUCCGUGGCGCCUAGGGGGCCGCCGCGAUGCCAGGCGAAAAUAUCUUCCUGUUCGUGCCUAACCUCAUCGGUUAUGCCCGGAUUGUCUUCGCCAUCGUUUCUUUCUACUUCAUGCCCUGCUGCCCCCUCACGGCCUCUUCCUUCUACUUGCUCAGCGGACUUCUGGACGCUUUCGAUGGACACGCUGCUCGAGCCCUUAAUCAAGGGACCCGGUUUGGGGCCAUGCUGGACAUGCUGACGGACCGCUGCUCCACCAUGUGUCUGCUGGUCAACCUGGCCCUGCUGUACCCUCGUGCCACCCUUCUCUUCCAGCUCAGCAUGAGCUUGGAUGUGGCCAGCCACUGGCUGCACCUCCAUAGUUCUGUGGUCCGAGGCAGUGAAAGUCACAAGAUGAUUGACCUGUCUGGAAAUCCAGUGCUUCGGAUCUACUACACCUCCAGACCUGCUCUGUUUAUCCUGUGUGCUGGGAACGAACUUUUCUACUGCCUCCUCUACUUACUCAAUUUUUCCGAGGGACUUUUAGUUGGCUCCGUGGGUCUCUUCCGAAUGGGUCUCUGGAUCACUGCCCCCAUUGCUUUGCUGAAGUCUGUCGUCAGUGUCAUCCACCUGGUCACAGCUGCUCGAAACAUGGCUGCCCUGGAUGCAGCAGACCGUGCCAAGAAGAAGUGACCCUGGAACCUCCAGCCCCUGGCUGUCCACCUGCCCUGGGAGUCUCACAAAACAUGAAUAUUGAUGAGACUGGAUUACCGAGCACUGGUGGCUGGAUAUGGAAGGCAGAGGCAGCUGGCAGCCUGAGGAGCCUAAGCGGGCCUUUGGACCAUCCAGAAGGCCAAAUGGAGCCACUGAAGGAAUUGUUCAAAAUAAUAGGCAAAUAAUCACAUGGUAAAAAUAUUAAAUUGCACACAUUACAAAAGGAUGAUGAAGUCUCCUGCCCCCUUAAGCCCUCACUUCUCCCCAGAGGUGACCACUGUUACUCACUGCUUAGGUGUCUAUUUAAAUUCUUUGCAUCUAUGUAUUUCCGUUUAAAAUUCACUUCAUGUAUGUGCUGUUCUGUUAACACAAGCUACCACUGUUCCAAGUGCUUUGCGUGUGCAUUUCCUCUUACCCUCACACCUACACUAUAAUGUGUGCUGAAUCAUACAGUAAGCCUCUGCCUGGGCCUGUUUUCCAGAGAGGAAAUUGAAGCCAGAGAGGGGGCCAAGCUGGGUAGCGUGGCUCCAGGGCCUGCACAUUUAUCUCACACAGUCCAGCAGUCUUAAUGGUGGAAUAGAAUUCCAUUAUUUACUUGGUUAACCACCACAGGUCUUGCCACCAUGAAAGAUGCUGUGGUGAAUCACCUGGGGGCCCUUGUAGGAUGAAAAUCAAAGGGCUUUCGGCAGGGCUGUGGCAGGGGCAGAUCUGUACUUGAGGAAUAUGGUGCAAAGCUGAGCUGCCCCUCCAACUCCGCAGGCAUGCCCCUGUCUGAUCUAAGGGGUCCCAGUCAAGGGGGGAGACCCGUGAUUGUCCAUCCUUUGUGAGCUCUCCCCAGCUGCAUGAGUCCUACGCAGCAAGAAAGUGCGAACUGUGAACCAGGAAGAGGGUUCUCACCAGAUCCUGACCAUGUUCGUGCCUUCAUCAUGGACUUCCAGCCUCCAGACCUGCAGAAGUGAGAAAUAAAUUUCUGUUGUUUAUAAGCUU